ensembl:lncRNA
CAGGCAAUACCCCACCUUCUUCUCAUAAGAGGCAUAUAGCCAACACCCCAUCAUACUGGUAAUCAGGGCCCUGGAUAAUGUGGGGUUUGUUUGCUGCUAAUAUAGCCAUUGUAUCUACCCUAGCUGCAGAGCCCUGCUCCUGAACUGAGGCACCAGGACUGCAAGUUACAGCUCUGCUGGCUGAGAGCUUUCUGAAUGGGAACACAGAGCAACCCUCCCUGUCUCUACACAUUCUAGCUCAGCAACGUGUGCUACACCCAUUCAUCUGAACGCAGAAAUAGCUCUGAAACUCAUGAUAAGGCCUUAAAUGCCAUCACACAGCUCAUUUAUUUCCCCACUGUCCCGAAGUGCUUCCCAGGUGCUGAAAUCCUGGCUGCCAAAACCUCCAUAGCCUCUGCCGACAACCUCAGUGACAUAGCUCUGCGUUGCAGCACCUUCCCUGCUGCUGCGGGCAGGGUGCUGCCAGAGGCUGUGCGUUCAGCCACAAGACGCCAGGAGCACUGAGGGUGGUCGCUGUGCCUGGCACGCAGCUGGGGAACCGAGGCCCCUAAGGGACGUGCCAUGUCCCCACACAGAGGGGAAGCGUGUGCCAGAGCAGCAGCAGCAGCCGGUGCCUCUCUUUUUCCAUGCGUCUGUCCCCUCCUCAAAGCAAUUUAGCAAUUUUCUUCGCCUUGAUGCCAGUGGCAUUACAUAAGUGUAACCUGGUUGUGAGAUCACGAUACGACACGUCGAUUAGCCAGGGAGGCACAAGGUCAUAACCAGCCUGAGGAAGGAGAGGCAGGCUGUGCAUACACACAAACACACCUAGGUGGAUGUAUAUAAACACACGUGGGCCCCUGGUGUUCCCAUCGCAGAUGUGCUGUGCGUGGCACAUGUCAGCCGGGGCAGGCUAUCGACCGCUGCCUGUGUUUCUGCAUCAGAACCUUUCGGUUUUCCCUUUCAGGCUUGGAGUUACUUCUCUUUUACAUAAAUAGCACCACUCGAGGCUGCCUUCCCGAUAGGUGGAAUAGUUUCCCCUUGAGAAGGAACUGGUGGAAAUCCCCUCUCUUGAGACAUUUUAACUCUGCCAAAAAAUGUACAAUGGGAGUGACUGCUUUAACUAGCAAGCUGACUUUGGAUGAGCUAAUGGAUUUUUCCAUCACUAGUGUCUAGUUCCAGGGAUUUCCAUGAAUUGCUGUCAGGACAGAAGAAGGCAACAGAUUGCAACUGCGGGAUCUGCUGUUUCAGCUCCACUGACACGUCAUUCCCUCAGGACACCCAGUGACCUGGUUAAUCUAGUUCCUUGCUUCUGACUUCUCCUCGUAAAUGAUUUAUCAACUGGCGUGGAUCCCUGUUUGCUUAAGGAGGCGUGUGACGACCUCUCGCAGGCUGGCUGCACAGAGCCACGGCUGUGUUUGGCAGCCGGCUGCCGGCCGCAGCUCGUGACCCUUGGCUGGGGGAGCAGGGGAUGGGCAGCAGAGCCCGGUGGGUGAUGUUUAUGAGGCUGGCCGGAGGGCGCUGGUGACCAAGCUGCAGGCUCGGCAGUGGGAGCACUCGCCUAGGACCUGCCUCAGCCCACUCUGACCCCCAGGGUAUGAAGGCGCGGUGGGCAGAGGGUUGGCGUGGGCUGUGACUGCCCGCCACGGGAGCGCCAGCUGCACCAGAGCCAUCCUUGAGGUCCCUGCUCUCCACGGAGGAAAUAACGCCAACUUUGGUCCGUUGCCUUGUCCACAGCGAGGCAGCAUCCGUGGGGUGACAUCAGUGUCACGUCUGAAGCAGAUGCAGCUCUGGAAGUCUUCACGUGCACACGUAGGUCAGUAUGCGUGUCACCACACACACAGCACGGCUGUAAGAAAGAGACGGUACAGAUCUGAACUCAGUCAGAAGCCAGGGAGAGAGGAUGGAAAUGACUCCUGCAAGCUUUACAUCCUGCCUUUGUACCUGGGCUAAAGGAGCGUGGAAAGAGAUCAGAUAGCACAAAUUGGGCACCCUUCUAAAAAACUGUCUAUGGGCAACUCCCCGCCUUCCCUCCAGGCCAGUUAUUGCCACUUCCUGCUCUGAUUGUUUCAAAUCCGGUUAUCUGGAGUUAUGCCUGUUCUGGCAAAUACGGUGCAGCAGAGGGGAGGGACCGUUCCAGCCAGCGCUGUAUGCAUGCCACAGAUCGCAGAGAUUAGCAUGGGAGGAACCGCAGGGAUGAGCUGCUUGAGGCAAAUAGUGGGAAGCUUACAACAGAGCUGCUUAACAAUUACAGUCAUGAAACUGUAGGACAAAAUCUUUAUUUUGGGGACACGAGGCCGCGCUGGGUUUCCAGCUGGCGGGAGGUUGUCUUGUAGGGGCAGCACGUGGCAGUAAGGCGAGGAGGAAGCCCACCACAGCCAGCCCACUCCCCAGCAGCGCCGUGUCGCACCACCCGAAGGCCACACAUCAUCAGGAGGGCUGGGCUGCAGCGAGGAACCUGCAGCCACAUGCAGGCAGAGGCAAGGGUGUGUUCCUUCCCGCAUAAGGGUGGGUCUGGAGCAGCCUGCAGCUUCAUGGGACCUCAGGGGUGGUCGUUCCUCUUAGCCCACAAGGGUGGAAGUUGCAGCUCCUGUUCCCUUUUUCGGGGUCACGCCACCUUCUUCUGCCUCAGCAGGAACCUCUGUGUUCACGCCCCAUGUGCUCCCACUGCACACCUCCUACAGCAGACCAACAGCGUGGAAGGACAGACAGCUGGCAGAGCGUGUGAGGGCUAAUCCCACCUCACCAGGAGCACCACAGCCACUCUGCUGCUCAAAUCCCAAACCCGCGUCCCCAACAACGAGUUCAGUCUAGGCUGGUCUCCCAUGUGCCCCAUGAGAUGCUCAUCAUAGUAACAAAGCAGAGAGGUGGGACGGGAGAAGAGGCAGAGGCCAAUGAGUUAUCCCGAAAUCAUAUUUCUAACCUUCUAAUAUGUGUGGAUUUGCCUCAGACGUAACUUCAGUCCGAAUUCCCAAGUGCUGAUAGAUUUGUGAGUGGAUAACACAAGGCUCAGGCUUAGCAACAAGCCCGAGCUCACUGACUUCACACCGCCUGUCCCAUACACCGUCUCGCUCUCCAAACAGCAGAGAGGAGCCUGGUCCGUGUAGGAACUAUGUCCUUCCAAGCAGCACAAGUACUCCUGACUCUAACCCCUUGGAACUCAAACGCAUUUACCAGGGACAGCACAGAUGCAAGUGAUGCAAGUACAAAACUCCCCAAAAACAUUCCCGUGUCCCUAGGGCACUGAAACAAGAGCCAGGAUUUCUCAUUGACCUCCUCCGUGGCAGGUGCACAGGUUUAGCAACUACGCACUAAAGAGAGCAGCCAGAAACCAUUUGGCAGAGACAGGACCAGAACCUGCUUCCUCUCAUCUCCAGCUGCCCAGGUUGCUCAGAAUCAUAGAAUCAUUAAGGUUGGAAAAGACCACUAAGGUCAUCCAGUUCAGCCAUCCGCCUACCACCACUGUUGCCCACUAAACCAUGUUCCUUAGUACCACAACUACACGUUCCUCCAACACCUCCAGGGGCAGCUUCCAAGUGCCUGGCUUUGUUCCGGUCCUGGCAACACAGGGCGAUUUUCUGGUCUUUCUUUUCUAUAUCCGAAAGGGUUUUUAAUUUGCAUUUUUUACCACAACCAAUCGCAGAUAUUUUCAUUGAACUGUUCACGCAGAAACCAUUUUAUUGAGCUGUUCUGGUUUUGGUGUGCUUAAAUCAUCCAGCUGGCAGAGCAGGCUAGUGCAUGACAGUGAAGUCACAUACCUCUCUGCUGGAUCUGACCGUAGGAGAUCCUACCAGGUCAAGGUUGCAGCUGCGUGUCACGCAGUCGUGGCAUCCAAAGUUACCGUCGCUCUUUGAGGAAGACUGGCUCGGAGCUGAGAGGCAGCUGACCACGGUUUCUUAUCCAGGUCCCCUGCUGAUGAGGCUCAGACUAAAUCUGCUGGCAAAACCUAACAAGAUUGCAAGCAGAAGGACACAGCUACGGAUAAAUAGAAUAGCAGGAAGGCCAGAUUGCUUCUCUGACAGCUCCGUGACCUGACAGCUGCCCACAGUCUGAGCAGUGCUGCUCCUGACCAGGAGAGCCAACCUGCUGCGAGCUGCUGCAGCUCAGUGCACGAGUGCUGGGGGAACAUCCAGCUCGCAGGACGGCUAUUCACUAAGGGCCCCAACAGGACAUCCUUCCUGUAUUAGUAUUGCCUCCCUGAACUAUCAAUUAAAAAGAACGCCACAAUUCUGUACCCUGUGGAUGCCGCCUGCCUUCUGUGCGCGCACAAAUCCCGCUACGAGAGGUACUGUAAGUACUGAGGUGUUAAAGACGCCAGAGGGUGCCCAGUGGGAUUUCAGAAGAGCAGCGGUCCCGACUGCUUUGGAUGUCAGCGCAGGUCGGACGUGUGAGCCCCAGGCCCCGCCUGUAGGGCCCCACCACCUUUGGAAUCUGGUUCCCUCAGCUCCCUCUGUGAAUACGGCAGUUAGCUCCCAGGGUAUUGCGAGGAUGGAAAAAGUAAAGACUAUGAGUUCUCAGGAAAUAUUGAAACGGGGUCAACUGAGUAACAUUUAAGUCAAUUAGAAAGACGGUCUGUUAACAGUCUGUUAAUAGCUGGCUGAGAUGGAUUCCCAUGAUUCCCGGUGCCAGCAUCUCCGCUCACACAAGGAAAUAUUUAUGACUCUUCUCCCUCAAAAGCCCGGUUAACCUCAUUUAAAGCAGAGAGCACGAAGAUAGAUCUAUCAACAUUAGGGACAUCAACUCUCCCUUUUUGUCCCCACGAUUACAAGAGAAAAGGAGAAUUCAAACCUUAAAGUGGGAAGUGAAUUACGCAGAGUGGCCGCAGAUGGGAGCCAUUAAAUGCCCGGCUGCGUUUUUUUAAUUGAAACAAUACAGCAAUUUACUAUACAAAUAGCUCUGGCAGAGCGCUGCUCUGGUGCUGUGGAAGCUGCCCGCCCCGCGUCCCACGGGUCACACACGGCAGCACGGCGCGGACCUCCCGCUCCCAGCACAGCCGCCGGCACCCGGGGCGAGGCGCACCCCUGGGCACAGCACCGCGGCUCCGCCUCGCUUUCCAGACGACUCCAGGAACGUCAGGACGAGCUCCCAGCGGCAGCUCCCGGCCCAUUACCAAAUACAGAGUCCAGAGGGAAGCGAGUCCUCGCUCCUCCUUUUGGGCGAGGCGAAGGGGAAAAAACAAAGCCGGAUGGGUCCCACUGUCAUCUUGACUGCCCGCGGGUUUUGGUCUGAGCUCCCGAAGCUUUAGGCCUGCCUGUAAGUCCAGCUUUGAAAGGGAAGGCGUUUAUUUUCAGUUUUCUGACGAGUGAGUAAUGGGGCUGCCAUCUAGAGGCCACUGCAACUUUCCAGCACAUUCCUUCGGACAGGAGUGGCAUUGUCAAUAACCUCCUCCUCCCACUACCUCCUCAUGAAGGACUUCUCGCUUCUAAAUGAAACUGUUACAGUACAAAGCACUUCUCCAUCCACAUCCCUGCCCACGGCGGCGGGCUGGAACUGGGUGAUCUUUAGCGUCCCCUCCAACCUGAGCCAUUCUAUGAUUGUGUCAUCUCUCAUUCAACGAUUGCAAAUUCUGCCUCAAUCAAUCCGGCUUAAGAAGGAGCUCUACUGAUAGGUAAUCUGUGUAUCCACUGCAGGAAUGGGAUGCUGGGAGUGCUGGCUCUAUGAGUCUCAGCUCCAUCCUUCCAUCCUGUCCCUGAGCUGAACAGCACCAGCCAAACUGGGCCAAACUCAGCGGGAUCCACUUUAGACCCUGCCUUGCAUAGAAAUCAGCUGCUGCAAAUGUGAACAGGAGGCAGAUACAGGGCAGCCAUGGCCACCCACCACUCACCACGUGAGCUGCCUGCUCACUUGUGCUAAACCCUGUGCCCAAGUGGAGCGGCCCGGCAGGCUGCAGGGCAGCAGGGAGUGAGGGCCGCACUGUGCUGCGCAGGCCUGGCAGCAGAGGAACCCCACUCCAGUGCUUUGCAGAGCACUUCAAAUUUGCUUGCAGACUGCCUGCCUCGCACCCCGCACCCACCAAUUGCAAAAUCCCCUGUUGAUAUGACUAAGAGUCACGCUCUGCAGCCUCAGCUUUGGGUUCUACCUCUCUCGGUCCUGAAAUGGGGACAGGGAAGUGCCAGAUGCUUUCUGUUCUCCUUGCUCAGGACUCUGCGACCAUGGGUGUUUUUGAGUCAGCGGUGCUCAAGGGACCUUUCAGUCAGCAUAACUGCGUGAGUGGCCAAAUAAAAACAGGCCCAAACGCCAAUGGGGCUCUGCUUACAUCAAGGAAAGGGGAAGCAGCUCUUCUACAGCGAGCGCUAGCGA